rnacentral:lncRNA from 1 species
ACGAGAAACAGUUCAGCCCAGAAUGAAGAAUGAGGCCAACUGAGAGAACACAAAAAUGGAUUUCAUGGAGGAUGGUUGCCAUCUCUGAUUGGCCAAUGAUUUCUCCGUCCGAUGAAAACUAACAACCCUCCUUAUCAAAAAUUCCAAAAAAAGAAAAAAAAAAUUAAUACUUCCUUUGUUCCAUUUUUACUAGGUUUUGCAAAAUGUCCACAAAUUGCUGUAGAAAAGAUGGAAAGAGGCAGUGAUGACAUUGCUGUGUGAUGAUUCUGGGCUGAAAUUUGGGGCAUGGAGAAAACCCGACUCGUAUCUUGGCGGGGCAAAACCAGAAUCAUGCAAAACCGGUUCAUUUUUUUUUUUUUUGCAGCCAUGGCGAUUGUUGUCUUCUUCUCCUCUUGCCCCCAUUUUACACAGAUCUGAGCCUCAUUUUCAAAUUCGGAUGGAAACCCAGUUCAUUUAGCUCAAAAGACUGAGGCAAUCGGAGAAAAUGGGGAUUUUUUUUUCAUCUCCGGUAUGUCAAUGAUUUCUUCUUUGCUCUAGUUGACAUUCCCUUAAUCUUUUGAUUUAAUUUCCUAGAUUUUUAAUGUUGGGUAUAAAAUUAUAUGUUUUGGGCAUAUGAGUUCUUUAGAAACUGAAACUAUACAGAAAUAUUAACUUAUGUCUCGCAAAAAAUUGUUUGUUAUGAGUGCAUAAACUAAAACCCAACACAAAAUAGGGCAAAUGUGUGAAUGGUCCAGUAAUGGAAGCUCAGCCCAGUAUGAAGAAUGAGGCCAACAGGGAGAAAAAAGGGAAGUUCUUUGGAGGGUGGUUGCCCUCUCUGAUUGGCCUGUGAUUUCUCUUUUAACCAAACUAACAACCAUCUAUAAAAGUUGGAAAAAGAAACGAUGUUUGUUGUCAUUGUCAUUUGCCUUCAAUGGGGGCAAUGUGAUGCUAAUUGGCAAUUGUACUAUUCAAUUUUCUAUUAUUCUGAGCUACAUUUAGUUGCAUGAUCAUAAGUUCUUUAAGGAUAGCAGGACAAAAGUGCAAAUGACCCUCUGAGCUAAGGUCGGCUUAUGCUUUAAAGCCACUAGAAAGCAGUCCAAUCCAAACAGGCUCUUAUUGGAUUAUUCUUGUUAAGGUUGUUCAAAUGUGCUCUUCUGGAAAAGUUCCCAUGUUUAGGCAGUGAUGAUAUUUGCUAAUCUGGGCUGAUGUUUAUUAUUUGGGGUAUGGGGACAAUCUGACCCGUAUCUUGGCAUGGCAAAUCCAGAUGGUUUGUGAUUGAGUCUUCUCUUUCACAUGCAACUGGUUCUUUUGCAGCCAUGGCGGUUGUUGCCUUCUCUCUGCCCCAAUUUUUUGCAGAUCUGAGCCUCAAUUUCCAACUAGUCCAACUGGAUGUCCCAGGACUCAAAGAGUUUUGAACCUAAAUGAUGAUAAAACCCCAUGUAUGCACACACACAAAAAAAACACUUGAUGAGAAAAUGUCAAAAUGGUCCCUUAUCAGUGCAAUGAUGAUCUUUCAAUCUGUCCUCUUUAGCUAGUAAUUGAGCAUUUAGAGUACCUGGCCAGUAUCUUGGCGGGGCAAUGACCCGGAUGCCUGUGAUUUUGUUGCAUGCAACUUGGAAAUAUUUGCAGCCAUCGUAUGACUGGACUCCGACUUUCUUUACCUGAGCAUAAGAUGGAUCUGAGCCUCAAUUCACUUGUGGGUGUAUUUGGAAUGAAGGAAAAUGUUUUAGUGUUCACUACAAUAAAAGAGACAUUUUGUGGCAAUAGAAUUCCUCUUGCUGGCAAUAUUUAUGGCUGCAAAAACAUUUUGCUGCAAAUUAAGUUAAUGCCAUUGCAUCUUAAGUCGCUAGUGUCUUAAGUGACGUUUAUAUAGAGUGAUGUUUAUAAAUACUCAUAUAGGUUAUUGCCGCCAAAUAUAUUCUAGUAGCGAUUAUAUCAUUGCUGCUAAAUAAUUGCCACAAAAUUCUCUGUUUGUUGUAGUAGAAUCAGCCGUAAAGUGGCUAUCUUGUGUAUAACACCAUACUUAAAUGUGAUCCCAUUGUGGUCUGGAAAGUGGCUACCUUGUGUCAUCUCUACAAAUAAUAAGACCUUCGACAUGAGGCCCAUAAUGAGGCUGUGAUGAUUUUCAUUCUUUACUCAUCAGAUGGUUGAGCUUCAGUAUAUCUUGGCUUGGCAUCUUUUUGGGGGUCUUGCGAGAUAUUGGAGCUAUUUGGGUUUCUACUUCUUACAAAGACUCCUUAAGAUUGCAGCCAUGGUGGGGUUUAGCUUAUGUUUGAGAAAAGGCGAAUCUGAGCCUCCCGAAUCUCUGUUUGUAUAAAACAAUGAGGCUCUUUAUGCUACCCAACUUAUGCUGCAUAACUUAAUCCGUAUGGAACUUAGGCUAAGCGAGACGAAAGGUUCUCCAAACUUAUGCAGAAACAAGAGCUCCUGAUUUUGGGGAAAUCCGUGCUAAAACUUGUUAAUUUAAUGCAUUGAGAAAAUCUGACCUGUAUCUUGGCAGGGCAACCUGGUAUGACAUCAUCGGUAAACUGGCGUUUGCAGCCAUGGCAUUGUUCCUUUCUCUUUGCAUCUUCAUAUACAACAACAUAUGAGCACUAAAGUUGAUGGUAAAUUAUUUCUCAGAUGGUCACUUAACUUAAUGCGGGUACUCAGGAACCUAAAUACCCUAUAGGGUUCAGUCCGAGCAACAUAGAAUCAUUCAAUGAGGCAAUGAAGACAAUCUUUAAGAAUCAGAUAGUUGAACUUUGUUGUAACUUGGUGUGGCAGCUCUAAGGGUCUUUGAGGUAAGAGAACUGUAUUGGUUUUCAUCUCACGAGGCUAUUAAUGCUUUGCUUGCAGCCAUGGCAUAGUAUAGCUUUUUCCUGAGAAAAAGCAAAUCUGAGCCUCCCAAGUAUCUGUUGUGUUUGAGAAUGAGGCUUUUUAUUGAACUCAGGAAUGGUAGAGAUUUUCUAAGGGCGGUUAACUCUUUCUCCUAAGUUCAAUUUUGCCAAUGAAUUUUCCUGUGCUUUUGUAUAAAGUUUACAGCUCUCUCAAUUAGCAGAGCGCUCUUCAUGAUGAUGAUGAUGCUGAUUGAUUGCCAUGAUUAUGGUAAUAAUAAAGGAAAAUACAGUUUUGCCCCUUUAACUUGUGCAAAACCCUGAACUAAACUUUUUGAAUAAGGCUUUGAUGAUAUUUGCCAAGAAGCUCGAAAAUGAGAUUUUAAAACUGAUUCAUAUCUUGUCUAGACAAAGGCAUUUGUGAGGAUGCUUUUUGCAGCCAUGGUGGAUUGGCUCUUUUUUCUGAUUGAUUUUCACUCAAAUCUGAGCCUCUUUCUGUUUAAAGUAUAGUUCUACAAUAUUUAGUCUUUCUUUUUCAUUCAUGGUACGAUCAGUUCAUAUAAGGAAGAGUCCCCUUUGAGAAAGAAGCUUUUAAUGUGUCCAUCUAUACAAUUUCUCCAAAUUGUUAGGUACGUACUGAUAUGAGACAAGGCCAAAGGGAAUGGAAGUGAAUAUUGAGGAUCCGUAUAUUGUUGCUGCAUUUUACUUUUUUGAUCAAGAUUUGUUGCUGCAUUUUUGCACAUUCAAACUUGGAUGUCUUGUUUUAAUCUUGAACGCUCCAAAAUUCAGAGGCAGUGAAGAUUAUUCAUAAUGAAAAUGAAAAGUGAAAAAAAUUAGAGUUGAUUCGUGACCUGGCUUGGCGAGUUCAAUCGGAAGGUCUUAUAAGGCAACUGUUGCUUGAAGCCAGGGCACUGUUCCAACUCUGCUCUUCCUUUUCUUUGAUUAAAUAGGCGAAAAUCUGAGCCUCGUUCUUUGCUUUGUGCAUUUACUUUUUUUUUUACCAGCCUUUCUGGAAAGAGAUUUAGAUUACCAUCGCUCAGUUUCAAAAAAAAAAGAGAAUAGAUUUAGAUUACCAUCACUGUGGAACUUCUGAAAUCAACAGCUCCAUCUGCCAAUGCCAAAAGCCAAAAGUAAAUAAAAAAAAAAGGAUUCUGCAUUAAGUACAUGCAUUUGUACAAUCUUGAUUUGGUUGACGGAAAUUGGAUCCUCCGCAUACAUGAAAAGGUAAUCAUUUUUACCUACAAUUUGUUUUUCUGUUGGUGGAAUAUUGUCAAACUUGACAUGAAUAAUAUUGAAGUACUGUAUGAUUAUUAUGUACUGUAGGUGCAUUGCUAUCUAAAAAGCAUGUUUAAGUAAAUUUGUGCAACUAUCAAUAGUGUCAAUCACUGCUAUUGAAUGCCAACUAAUUCAAUUAUUAGAUGGAAUGACAGUUUAUAUGCAUCCACAAAUCAAGAACUAUUGCUUUGUUCUUAAUUGUUAGUAUAUGCUAUGAAAUGCUCCAUUUACAAUAUAUCUGUUGACAAAUUAUGUGCUUUUUUGGGGGUCAUUUUUUGUUGUUGUAAUUGCAGCAUCCACUGAAUCAGUGACGUAGCCGGAAUAAGCUAAGCACAUACUCACAUGUCCGCUACCUAAACUUGGAACUGUUGGGAAAUUAUUGAUCAAAAGCACCAUAUUGGCCAAGUUAAUGGUGUAUUCUCAUUCCUGAUUAGAGGUACCAGAUGGGCAAAUUAAUUGGUAGGUGAGCACUUUUAACACUUGUUAUUAUAUAUAUUAGUCAAUGUCUUAGAAGGUAUUAAUGUCCCUGAAACACUUUCAAUGCCUUUUGAGGAAGUUUGAUAAUCAGUAGCUAUUUAAUUUGAGAAAGAAUAUUUUAAUACAAUUAAUUUAAAGACAAUUUAAGAUUUUUAUUUUUUUUAACUUUAUUAUUUUUAUUCUUAUUAACACAUAAAGAAACCUACAAUCAAUUGGAAAACAAAAAAUUUGACACGUUAGAUAUAUCUUUUAAUUUAUUUAAUUAUAAUUAUCAUAUGUUGUUAUUUGUCUUAAAUCUUUGUUAUUCUUUCAUUAAUAAUUUGUUCUUAAAAAUAUUACAUAUGUUAUUAAAAUUUGGUUCAACAAUUAGAUACAACGUUCUCAUAUUUUUUAAAUAUUAACUGUGCAUUGGAAUUCAACCCUACCAAAUCCUAAUUGAAGAAUGAAUUGGUCAAAGCAAUAAAUAUAGAGAGAAGAGGAAGCUCCAAAUGACCCAAAAGAAUAGGUUUGUACCCCUAACAUUCAAACGUAUUGUUUUAUAAUGUAUCGUAUUACAUAUUUAUAUUAUUUUGAUGAGUAUAACUGUUGGAUAGAACAAUAAUUCGAAGAAUAAAUCUAUUAGAAAAAUGAAUUAAACCUAAGCUACUAUGAUUUUCUUUUUUUGAAUUUGCAAGGGAAAGCUGUCAAAGACAGGAAAGCUGAUGGAUGUUGAUAAUCAUCAGGUUAGUUAUCUUCAACGUGGGCCUUGCCAUUGUUUAAGAAUCGAACGAAUUCACUUCCAAGAAAGAAAUCAUUGUAAACAUCCUCAAGAGGUUAUCUGUGCGGUCUCUUCUUCGAUUUAAAUCUUGGAAGGAGUUAAUUUCUCAGCCUUACUUUACGAUGAAGCAUCAAAGUCAUGCAAUGAAUGACUUGAAUUCCAAAAAGUUUCUUGUUAGCCAAUGGCAUGUUGAUGAGGUGUACGGAGAGAUACAGUUGCUAGAGCCAAUGAUGGAAAAUGUCAAAGGUUUCACCAACCAUGGAGUUUCAAUAUUAGGAGGAAUGCUUUGCUUUUAUUACACUCAUGCUCCUUCUAACUCGAGAGAGACUACUCUUAAGUUAUGGGUAAUGAAGGAUUACAGUGUCAAAGGAGUCUUGGAUACCAUUAUAUAUACUAUACAAGAUAACGUUUUGCAUUUACUUAGACCGAUAUAUAUGUUUGCAGAUGGUGAAGUGCUACUCAACUACAGAUGUAUAGACCAAGUAGGGUUUAACUUCCCGUUUAGGACAUCCAAAGGACCACUAAAAUUAUGGCACAAAUAUAAUAUCCUAAAGCAAGGAAUUAUUUAUACGAUCUCUCCAAAAUCACUUAUUAGCGCUUGCUUAUGUAUGAUAGACAUUUUUUAAUUUUAUCGGUUUUCGAGUAUAUCAUGUAACAAACUCUUAAUUUUGAUAAGUUUAUCUAUUGCACACUAAUUUUUGUUAUGUAAAAUUUUUAGCUCUCUUCGAUCUCCAAAUCGUCCAUAUCUGCAUACUUAAAAGGUUUAACCAAGUAUUUGGCGAUCUCAAAUGUGUUGAUAUCAAUAAAGACUAUUUUUUUUAAAAAAAAAAGGUUACGUAAACACUUACUCGAGAUCUCACUUCGUGACAAUUGAAAUGCAAAUUCUUAUUGUCUUUAAAAAAAGAGUUUAUUAAAUGAAUAAAUUAUAGUUCUUCGUGACAAUUGGAAUUCAAAUUCUUAUUGUCUUUACAAAAAGAGUUUAUUAAAUGAAUAUAUUAUAGUUCAUAAAUAACGUAUUAGAAUAUCUUAAGAUAUCACCAC